GACGAACGCUGGCGGCGUGCCUAAUACAUGCAAGUCGAACGCAGUGGGGACGGGUGCGUAACACGUGGGUAACCUCCCAUCAGAGGGGAUAACACUUGGAUACAGGUGCUAAACCGCUACUGAUGGAUGAACCCGCGGGGCAUUAGCUAGUUGGUGAGGUAACGGCUCACCAAGGCCACGAUGCAUAGCCGGUCUGAGAGGGUGAGCAGCCACACUGGGACUGAGAAACGGCCCAGACUCCUACGGGAGGCAGCAGUGGGGAAUAUUGGGCAAUGGACGAAAGUCUGACCGAGCAACGCCGCGUGAGUGAAGAAGGUUUUCGGGUUGUAAAGCUCUUUUGUUGGAGAAGCGGUAUCUAACGAGAAAGCAACGGCUAACUACGUGCCAGCCGCCGCGGUAAUAC
rnacentral:rRNA from 1 species